ACUGGGUGCAGUGGUGCACACUUGUAAUACUAACACCUGGGAGGCUGAAGUGAGAAGAUCACUUCAGCUCAGGAGCUUCAGGUCAGCCUGGGUAACAUAGUAAGAACUUAUCUCAA
rnacentral:sRNA from 1 species